AUUGAACGCUGGCGGCAGGCUUAACACAUGCAAGUCGAGCGGGGGAAGGUAGCUUGCUACCGGACCUAGCGGCGGACGGGUGAGUAAUGCUUAGGAAUCUGCCUAUUAGUGGGGGACAACAUCUCGAAAGGGAUGCUAAUACCGCAUACGUCCUACGGGAGAAAGCGGGGGAUCUUCGGACCUUGCGCUAAUAGAUGAGCCUAAGUCGGAUUAGCUAGUUGGUGGGGUAAAGGCCUACCAAGGCGACGAUCUGUAGCGGGUCUGAGAGGAUGAUCCGCCACACUGGGACUGAGACACGGCCCAGACCCCUACGGGAGGCAGCAGUGGGGAAUAUUGGACAAUGGGGGGAACCCUGAUCCAGCCAUGCCGCGUGUGUGAAGAAGGCCUUAUGGUUGUAAAGCACUUUAAGCGAGGAGGAGGCUACUCUAGUUAAUACCUAGGGAUAGUGGACGUUACUCGCAGAAUAAGCACCGGCUAACUCUGUGCCAGCCGCCGCGGUAACAC
rnacentral:rRNA from 1 species